rnacentral:lncRNA from 1 species
CGCCUUCGUUACACUCAACUUUGGCUGGAUGUCAACUGGAGAUUGCUGAUUGCCACCGCACACUGAAUUUGGCAAUUUCGCCCAAGCGCUAUUCAUCGGUUGCCAAUCAUGUUCUUAUGGGAAAAACAAAUUUUCUAAUACCGUGAUAAUUCCAACCGGAAGCUGUAAUCAGACAAAUGAAAACGAAUUUGGGACUCCAGUGUUCAAACAUGGAACUAGUAAAGGUCUUGGCCCGUGCUGUGUCGCUAACUUCCUCGAAGUGAUCAAAUGUUUUCACCUUCUUUGCAGCGAAAACCGGUAAUGCUGUCGAUGGCAGCCAAAGUCGCAAGAAGAGGACGAAAAUAGCCAGAUUGGAAUUGGCGCUUAAUCGUUUCAUUAUAUGUCUACGAGCUAGGUCUCUUAGACAAAGAAUUAUCAAAUGGAGGCACACUUGCGCUUCUGGCUGCUUCUUCGUUCGGGACUUGAAUGCGUUCCCGUUGUCGUCCAUGCUGGUAUUAUUUGUAGAUAGAAAUACAGCAGAUAGAUGUUACUCGCUGAGCCCGUUUUCGAUGGGUGCGACUUGGCUUCACUAACAAUGAUUUUAUCACGAAAUUUUUCGGUUCUUCUUUUAAGUCUAAUCUCAAUAAGGGAAGGGGAUGGUCAGUAAGAAUUGUGACCGCCAGUGCCCUAAGGUCCAUUUUGGCUAUUGCACUAGCGGUUUUAUGUCGCAUUUUAUUGCUUGAGAAAUCUAGCAAAACAGGCAAGAUGAAGCUUAAACCAGGCUUAAACAAAUUUUUUUGUU